CCCUUAGAUGUUCUGGGCCGCACGCGCGCUACACUGAUGCAUUCAACGAGUUUCUUCCUGGUCCGAGAGGAAUGGGUAACCUUUUGAAAGUGCAUCGUGAUAGGGAUAGACUAUUGCAAUUAUUGGCCUUCAACGAGGAGUUCCUAGUAGACGUAGUUCAUCAGACUGCAUCGAUUACGUCCCUGCCCUUUGUACACACCGCCCGUCGCUCCUACCGAUUGAAUGCUCAGGUGAGCCAUUCGGACUUUCAUCAUGCUGGUUUCCAGUUUUGAUGAAGGAAAGUCUUGCGAACCUUAUCAUUUAGAGGAAGGAGAAGUCGUAACA
rnacentral:rRNA from 1 species